rnacentral:rRNA from 1 species
UGCUUGACGACGAUAGAGCUGUGGAACCACCUGAUCCCUUGCCGAACUCAGAAGUGAAACGCAGCCUCGCCGAUGGUAGUGUGGGGUCUCCCCAUGUGAGAGUAGGUCAUCGUCAAGCU